AUAUCUGUGUAAAACACAUGAGUACACCACAGCGAACAAAAUUGCUGGUUUGUAAAAUCUUGGAAGAGGCUUUAAGGAAAAUCCAGGAGCUGGAAAUGCAAGAUAAUUUGUGCCUGACUCUAGUACGAAGAAUUUUGGGAAGACGAUUUGGCCUAAAAAGACCUGUAGCAGUUAACAAGCUAUUAGAUGCACAAUAGCACAAAAUGACCACCACCACUAUCACCCUAAAGUGUGUGCUUGGUGUCUGUCUACACGUGCUUGCUUCUGGAAUGUUGAAGAACAAACUGUGUUGAAACGCCAACUGGAGUUGGUCAUGGACCUUUGCCGCCCUUCAUCCAGAGCCUUCCACAGAGAUGGCAGAUAUAUCGCUGCCUGGACCAACAGUUGACCAUGCCGUUGAGUCCAUGAUAUCAGUAGCAGCCAUGAAAACAUCUACAGAAUUACAUCUGC